CCUACGGGAUGCAGCAGUGGGGAAUAUUGCACAAUGGGCACAAGCCUGAUGCAGCCAUGCCGCGUGUAUGAAGAAGGCCUUCGGGUUGUAAAGUACUUUCAGCGAGGAGGAAGGCAUUAAGGUUAAUAACCUUAGUGAUUGACGUUACUCGCAGAAGAAGCACCGGCUAACUCCGUGCCAGCAGCCGCGGUAAUACGGAGGGUGCAAGCGUUAAUCGGAAUUACUGGGCGUAAAGCGCACGCGGGCGGUCUGUUAAGUCGGAUGUGAAAUCCCCGGGCUCAACCUGGGAACUGCAUCCGAGACUGGCAGGCUAGAGCCUUGUAGAGGGGGGUAGAAUUCCAGGUGUAGCGGUGAAAUGCGUAGAGAUCUGGAGGAAUACCGGUGGCGAAGGCGGCCCCCUGGACAAAGACUGACGCUCAGGUGCGAAAGCGUGGGGAGCAAACAGGAUUAGAUACCCCUGUAGUC
rnacentral:rRNA from 1 species